UUUUAUAAAUACUGUGGUACACAGUACUAGACCUUUGCAAAUGACUAAAUACUUUCAACAUAAAAGGUUAUACUAGAAGAUUAUAUAAUUCACAUUGGAAUCACAUGGAACUUAGCAGUAUUAUAGUGUUUUAAAUUCAUUAUUAUAUAUAUGCACUGUAUCAUUUAAUUACACUUUAAGAAGAGAAUUUCAGUUAGCAGGAUAUUAAGAGAAAACAACCAGUUCAUUAUAUUAAAAUAUUUAAAAGUAAAGCCGAUAUAUCUUCUCUCAGCUGCAUGAUUUGCAAAGAUACUAUAUUCUUUUUUAUGUACACUUCUAGAGUGAUACUUUUCAUUGUAUUUAUAUUUACUUGAGUUCUUUACAUAUGGUGUAUUAAUUCAAGAUUUUUAAGUGUUCCUAUAGGAUAACAUAGUUAUAUUUUAGUGCUGAACAUAAGAUUCAAUUGGAGCUAGAAUCAUAGUUAUAUUCACAAAGAAAAUACUUAAAAGCCAUCAUAUUACUUGAGAUUGUGAACAGACUGAAUACUGCUGACUCUAGGUAGUAACCUAAAUUAUGGUGCUGAAGUCUAACCAAAUGGUGCAGAAAUAAACUCAGAGUCAGGCCUGGAUCCAUAUCUUUUUUAACUAUAAAGUCUGUGUAAAUCUGUGGUAGACAUAAUACUAGUGUUAGCAUUAGUGUUUGGCAUUGAGAUAAGUUACUAAUACAUGUCAGAUUUUAAGAACAGAAAAAAUAGUGAUAAUUGAAUUUCUUUAGAACUUAAGUUUUCUAUAUAUCCCAAAAAUUUUAUGAGAAUUUACUUACAAGUAGAGUUUAAGGCCACCACUAAGUUUUUAUCACUUCUAUAAAAUAUUUUGCUAAACUGUUGUAGUCAAGAAUCCCAACCAGUGAAGAUCCAUAUCUUCAGUGCAAACCCAAAUAAUUUUAUAUUGUUCUCAUAAUAAAAAUACUUUAUAAGUUUUCUGUGGUUUCUUAGUACUAAAAGUUCUUAGAAAGUGUUUUCUUGAACUAACAUACUUGUAAAUCUGUAAUGUAUUUUACAUCAUACAUCUCUACAGAUAGAUCUUUAAUUUAUUGAAUAAGCUAAGCACAUGUGUGAAAAUCAUAAACUUUCUGAUUUUAAGUACAUUUUAAAACAGAUAAUUCAUUUUUCUAUAAAAUCUAUGAAGUUCGAUCUCAGCUUCUGUCAUUUGGGUGGAAGGCCUAGCAGUAUGCUGGGUCUUUACAUUUGAUUUGUACUUUAGAUCAUUGGGAUUGUCUUUCCCUUACAAUUUUGUAAUGAGGAAAAUAGAAUUAAAUACGGAUUGUAUAUUAGGCUUUGAAAUUGGCAAGUAAAAUUUUGAUACUUGCUAAGGAAGUAUUAUUUCAUAGAUCUCCAAAUAAGAUGAGUUUACUCUUUUGGGGUUUCUUCUUGCAGAUUUG
rnacentral:lncRNA from 1 species